CAGGCAGAGUAGGAAGGAGCCAAAGAGUUACUUCUGGGAAGACUGGGCCGGAGCUCUGGAGACCACCCUUCUCUACAGAUGCCAGCCCCCAAACUUUCAUUGCCCUUGACUCUGUUUCUGCCAUAUUCCAGAGCAUGUCGGUUAAGGAAUAGGUGAGUGGAGUCUCAUUUUGUUUUUGCUUUGCUUGUCUGCCCUGCUUCAAUCACCUAAACUCAUUAGAGAAUGGUCAAGCCCACAGCAAUGAUGAGGAAGGCACGCUUGCGUUUUCUGGGCUGUAGUUUCUGGAUGCAGUCAUGUCCAAGGCCCAGCCAGCCUCCGGCAAGCCCGCCAUGCUGCCUGUGGGGUCUCCCUCUGCCAGGAAGGGCACUUCUACCCUGGACAGUCCCAGCUGCAGCCCCACCACAGGAUCCCUCGGCUCUUCACGCUCCACUGAGAUUUCUCAAUUGACUGUAACUUCCUUUUCAGAAAUCCUAUUUGGCUUCAAAGUUACAGAAGAUUGUUCUCCUUGGGGCCUGCAGAGAUGUUCAAAGUAUGCCUCCUAGGGAUGACCGGAAUUUGCUUGAAGUGUUAAAAGAAAACCACAAGGCAUAAUAACACAACUAUUGUCCUUGACCCUCAGAUGCAAAAAUUAAAAUCCUCAUUCAUAAAGCAAUUUUGAAAAUCUCAUGGAAAUAUAUUCUCUUUAGAGCUGAGGCCAAAAAAAAUUAAAAAUUUCCUCCCCAAAAGGAAACUGGUUAGCUUGGAAUGAGAGACACAAAAGGCACAGACAGUAAGAGAAGAUUAUCAAGGUACGGAGGCCACUCUAGGUCUCUCAACCCCAAUUCCAAGACUUCAUAGCCCCUAACAUGGGAGAAGACCAGAGACCCAUAAAGGAAUGAAGUCUGGAAUAUAAUUUCUAGUGGAAAGGAGUGCUACAAAGAAGGGAUUAAAGCGUGACAAGGUUGGGGGUUGAUAUUGUAGGGGUCAGCGAGGACACUUUGAGGAGGUCCUAUCAGAGAAGAAAGCUGAAGGACAGGAGCAAAUGCAUGGUGCUGAAAAGAGAAGGAAGAGAGAAAAUGGAAGAUGGGGCUGAGGAAGGUAAUGAAGUUGAGGGGAAGGCAAAGUCAAGGUAGUGUAAGGCAGGAGUUUACAAACUGUCUCUGUAAAGAGCUAGGUAGGGAAUAUUUCAGUUUGGUGGCCAUACAGUCUCUGUUAUAUCUACUCAUCUCUGCUGUUGUAGCGUGAAAACAGCUCCAGGCAAUAUGUAAAUAAAUAGGUGGGACUGCGUUCCAAUAAAACUUUAUUGACAAAGAUAGGCAGAGGGCUGAAUUUGACUAGAGGGCUGGAUUUGACUAGAGGCCCAUGGUUUGCCGACCUUUGUUUUGGAGCCUUGUAGGCCAGGAUGAGAAUUUUACUUUUAUUGUUAAAGGAAUAGAAGCCAUGUGGGGGUUUUAAGCCUAAGAGUAAAGUGAUGUGAUUUGUGUUUUAGAAGAUCAUUUUAGCUGUCACAUGGAGAAAAGAUUGUAAGGCAAGAGCAGAAGCAGGGAGACCAGUUCAAGGCUUUUAAAGUUCUUUGGGCAAAAGAGGCUGGAGACUGUAUCUAAAGUGUCUGUGGCAGGAAUUCAAGUGCUCACCCGCAUCUUUAGAUCUCCCCCUUGAUCCAUGAUGGAACCCUUCCUCUCACUCCUGUGAGUUUUCAUGUGGCCAUGUGAUCAGCUCAGCCAAUAAAAUGCAAGGAGUAGAAGACCUUAAGAACUAGUGCAUGAUUCAGUCUGCCUUUCCCCUACCAUGGUGGUUUAUAACUUCUAGGCACUCAUCCUGCAUAUGCAACCUGGAACUUAAAAAUAA
rnacentral:lncRNA from 1 species